rnacentral:tRNA from 1 species
AAUGAUAUGUCUGAUUAAAGUAAUAAAUUGUAAAUUUAUUUAAAAGAUAAUUUUAUCUUUAUCAUUA